rnacentral:rRNA from 1 species
AUUGAGAAUCCAAGAUAAGGUCACGGCAAGACGAGCCGUUUAUCAUUACGAUAGGUGUCAAGUGGAAGUGCAGUGAUGUAUGCAGCUGAGGCAUCCUAACAGACCGAGAGAUUUGAACCUUGUUCCUACAUGA